rnacentral:rRNA from 1 species
AUGGCGCCUGGAACCCUAAUCCCCAUUCGCCCCUCUCCCUCUCGCACGAGCCGCCGCCCGAGCUCGGCCGUCACCGCGUCGCCAUCGUCAACGUGCACCAGAGCUUCCCCGAGCUACAAGAAGGUGCCCAGGACCCGCGUCACCCUCGUCUCCUUCGUCCUCGCCUGUGGAUCAAGGCCAAAACGCCGCGUAGCUUCAUCAUCGGGUCAUCUUCCACGCCACGGCCACCGCAACCCCGCCGCUCGAUCCGCCGCCGUCUGCUCAUCCCGGCAUCCCCGAGCCCUCCACGAGCACCGCAGUGAGCAACCCCUUCGAUUCCCCAUCUCCUCCGCCUCGAUUCGGUCACCGUUUGCCGACCCCGAGCGCAUCCGAGCUCGCACGUACGCGUGCGUGUGCGUGCGUGAGCUGCUGCUGCUUAACUGUCGUCUGCUGCUGCGGCGUACUGCUGCUGCCCUCGCCCGCACGCCCUCUUUCCGUGACGCAAACCCCCGGACCUGCCUGCCUAAUGUUGCUUACGGCACAAAGCUGCUGCUGUUAGUUGCUUUUGUCGCCGUCGCUGCUGGUUGUUGUCCGCCGCUGCUAUCGCUCACCUCGCCGCGAUGCUGCCACUGCUCAUCACUACGCCUGUGUCCCGCGCGUCCUAGCCUCGCACCACGCCGGCGCCAGCCUAUGCGAGCCGGCGCACCGUCUUCCCCUGCUGCCCCAUCGCCUACUACCUCCCCGCGUGUGUGCUACAUGCUGCUGCUGCUGGCGCGCACUGCUCUUGCUGUUGGGCUGCUACUCUUCUGUACUACUGCUGCUUGUUCUACUGUGUCUGCUCGCUUGCUAUUGCUGCUAAUCGUUGGUUGCUGUUGCUCGCCUACAGAGGCUGAUGCUUGCCCACGGCUACUACGGCUGCAGCUGCUGUCGUAG